rnacentral:rRNA from 1 species
UACGAAGGGGGCUAGCGUUGCUCGGAAUUACUGGGCGUAAAGCGCACGUAGGCGGAUUGUUAAGUCGGGGGGUGAAAUCCUGGAGCUCAACUCCAGAACUGCCUUCGAAACUGGCGAUCUUGAGUCCGGGAGAGGUGAGUGGAACUGCGAGUGUAGAGGUGAAAUUCGUAGAUAUAGGAAGGAACACCAGUGGCGAAGGCGACCACCUGGACUGAUACUGACACUGAGGUGCGAAAGCGUGGGGAGCAAACAGG